UUAGCAAGGCGGGUGAUCGCUCCCGAAAGGGGGAGGAAAGUCCGAACACUUCCUUAAAUUUUAAGGAGAAAGGUAGCGGGUAAUUCCCGUCCACGGCAACGUGCGAGGUGCGAACAGUGACGAUACCCCCGCUUAGCGGGGGAGUGAAACGGCUAAAUCCUUACCCAAGUGCAAGAACAAAGCCUAUAUCAUUGUUUCAUCAGUGAAAAGGGUUAAAAGUAGUUCGCUUGACUCUGGCAGUAAUGUCAUGAGCAGACAGAUGAUCACAUAAUACAGAAUUCGGCUUACAGCCUUGCUAAGGCC
rnacentral:RNase_P_RNA from 6 species